GAAAUACUGCCACCGGGUAGAAUGAUGCGGAAAGCAUUCGUGAGCAUAUCGUUAGGUCUGAGAAGAUAUGUGGAGCGGGUGCUUUUUUUAU
rnacentral:ncRNA from 1 species